rnacentral:rRNA from 1 species
UGUACGCGAGUCAUUGGGUGUAUAAAACCCAAAGGCGAAAUGAAAGUAAAGAGAUGGAAAUUUGAAUUGGUUUUCCUUUUCAGUUUCCUCUCGAAGGAUGAUGGAAACUUUAUCUUAAAGCAGUUUACUGCAUUUUAGAUAAAAGUUUCCCGCACUCCUGGGGCGCUUGUUUCUCGCUUUGCGAGUUAAUGCGCACCUAGAGCGUACACGCUGAUACCCGAAAGAUGGUGAACUAUGCCUGGCCAGGACGAAGCCAGGGGAAACCCUGGUGGAGGUCCGCAGCGAUUCUGACGUGCAAAUCGAUCGUCGGAGCUGGGUAUAGGGGCGAAAGACCAAUCGAACCAUCUAGUAGCUGGUUCCCUCUGAAGUUUCCCUCAGGAUAGCUUGCUCUCAAGUAUAAGAGUCUCAUCCGGUAGAGCGAAUGAUUAGAGGCAUUGGGGUCGAAACGACCUCAACCUAUUCUCAAACUCCAAAUAGAUGAGAACUCCGGCUUUCUUAAAAAUGAAGCCGUGAGAUUCGGAUCAGAGUGCAAAGU